CAACAGGGAUUGCCUUAGUAACUGCGAGUGAAGCGGCAAAAGCUCAAAUUUGAAAUCUGGGGCCUCACAGCCUCCGAAUUGUAAUUUCGCGAUGCGUCUUUGACGGAUGGCCCUACUUUAAGUUCCUUGGAACAGGACGUCACAGAGGGUGAGAAUCCCGUGAUAGGUAGGGCCUGAAGCAUAUAAUACGUAUUCUACGAGUCGAGUUGUUUGGGAAUGCAGCUCAAAAUGGGUGGUAAAUUUCAUCUAAAGCUAAAUAUUGGCGAGAGACCGAUAGCGCACAAGUAGAGUGAUCGAAAGAUGAAAAGCACUUUGAAAAGAGAGUUAAAAAGUACGUGAAAUUGUUGAAAGGGAAGCGCUUGAGACCAGACUCCAUCUGUGGUGAUCAGCGGUGCUUUUGUGCCGUGCACUUGCCACUUAUGGGGCCAGCAUCGGUUCUGGCGGUGGGAUAAAGUCUAGAGGAAUGUAGCUGUCGUUUGGCAGUGUUAUAGCCUCUUGAGCAAUGCCACCAGCCGGGACCGAGGACCGCGCUUCGGCUAGGAUGCUGGCGUAAUGGUCUUCAGCGA
rnacentral:rRNA from 1 species